rnacentral:rRNA from 1 species
UACGGGGGGGGCAAGCGUUGUUCGGAAUUACUGGGCGUAAAGGGCUCGUAGGCGGCCAACUAAGUCGGAUGUGAAAUCCCCAGGCUCAACCUGGGAACUGCAUCCGAUACUGGAUGGCUUGAAUCCGGGAGAGGGAUGCAGAAUUCCAGGUGUAGCGGUGAAAUGCGUAGAUAUCUGGAGGAAUACCGGUGGCGAAGGCGGCAUCCUGGCCUGUUCUUGACGCUGAGGCGCGAAAGCUAGGGGAGCAAACGGG